GACGAACGCUGGCGGCGUGCUUAACACAUGCAAGUCGAACGGUGAUGCUCCAGCUUGCUGGGUGGAUUAGUGGCGAACGGGUGAGUAACACGUGAGUAACCUGCCCUUAACUCUGGGAUAAGCCUGGGAAACUGGGUCUAAUACCGGAUAGGAGCGUCCACCGCAUGGUGGGUGUUGGAAAGAUUUAUCGGUUUUGGAUGGACUCGCGGCCUAUCAGCUUGUUGGUGAGGUAAUGGCUCACCAAGGCGACGACGGGUAGCCGGCCUGAGAGGGUGACCGGCCACACUGGGACUGAGACACGGCCCAGACUCCUACGGGAGGCAGCAGUGGGGAAUAUUGCACAAUGGGCGCAAGCCUGAUGCAGCGACGCCGCGUGAGGGAUGACGGCCUUCGGGUUGUAAACCUCUUUCAGUAGGGAAGAAGCGAAAGUGACGGUACCUGCAGAAGAAGCACCGGCUAACUACGUG
rnacentral:rRNA from 1 species